ensembl:snoRNA Gm25093 small nucleolar RNA SNORA17
GCUGUUCCUAGAGACAUUGCAGGUAAGGCUGUCAUGUCACAUGUGUGUCAGUAGGUGGCAGAGAGGAGAGAGGUUAUGUCUACACUCAGUAUUCAGAUCUAUGAACAUCUAAUUGAUUAGUAGCCUAAAUAU